GUCGAGGGGCAGCAUGAUUUGUAGCAAUACAGAUUGAUGGCGACGGCGCACAGGUGAGUAACGCGUAUGCAACUUACCUAUCAGAGGGGGAUAGCCCGGCGAAAGUCGGAUUAAUACCCCAUAAAACAGGGGUCCCGCAUGGGAAUAUUUGUUAAAGAUUCAUCGCUGAUAGAUAGGCAUGCGUUCCAUUAGGCAGUUGGCGGGGUAACGGCCCACCAAACCGACGAUGGAUAGGGGUUCUGAGAGGAAGGUCCCCCACAUUGGUACUGAGACACGGACCAAACUCCUACGGGAGGCAGCAGUGAGGAAUAUUGGUCAAUGGCCGAGAGGCUGAACCAGCCAAGUCGCGUGAAGGAAGAAGGAUCUAUGGUUUGUAAACUUCUUUUAUAGGGGAAUAAAGUGGAGGACGUGUCCUUUUUUGUAUGUACCCUAUGAAUAAGCAUCGGCUAACUCCGUGCCAGCAGCCGCGGUAAUACGGAGGAUGCGAGCGUUAUCCGGAUUUAUUGGGUUUAAAGGGUGCGUAGGUGGUGAUUUAAGUCAGCGGUGAAAGUUUGUGGCUCAACCAUAAAAUUGCCGUUGAAACUGGGUUACUUGAGUGUGUUUGAGGUAGGCGGAAUGCGUGGUGUAACGGUGAAAUGCAUAGAU
rnacentral:rRNA from 1 species